rnacentral:rRNA from 1 species
UGGGGAAUUUUGGACAAUGGGCGAAAGCCUGAUCCAGCCAUGCCGCGUGUAUGAAGAAGGCCUUCGGGUUGUAAAGUACUUUUGUUAGGGAAGAAAAGCUUGUUGCUAAUAUCAGCAAGUCAUGACGGUACCUAAAGAAUAAGCACCGGCUAACUACGUGCCAGCAGCCGCGGUAAUACGUAGGGUGCAAGCGUUAAUCGGAAUUACUGGGCGUAAAGCGAGCGCAGGCGGUUAUUUAAGUCAGGUGUGAAAGCCCCGAGCUCAACUUGGGACGUGCAUUUGAAACUGGAUAACUAGAGUGUGUCAGAGGGGGGUAGAAUUCCACGUGUAGCAGUGAAAUGCGUAGAGAUGUGGAGGAAUACCGAUGGCGAAGGCAGCCCCCUGGGAUAACACUGACGCUCAUGCUCGAAAGCGUGGGUAGCAAACA